rnacentral:rRNA from 2 species
AGGUUAAGUUAACAAGGGCGCAUGGUGAAUGCCUUGGCACUAGGAGCCGAUGAAGGACGGGACUAACACCGAUAUGCUUCGGGGAGCUGUACGUAAGCUAUGAUCCGGAGAUUUCCGAAUGGGGCAACCCAGCAGUUUUAAUCAACUGUUACCACUAGAUGAAUUCAUAGUCUAGUUGGAGGUAAACGCUGUGAACUGAAACAUCUCAUUAGCAGCAGGAAUAUAAAGAAAUUUCGAUUCCCUAAGUAGCGGCGAGCGAACGGGGAACAGCCCAAACCAAAGUGCUUGCACUUUGGGGUUGUAGGACUGAACAUUUGAGUUACCAAAGAACUUGAUAGUCGAAGGAUUUGGGAAAAUCCGCCAUAGAUGGUGAUAGCCCAGUAGAUUAAAUCAAAUUCUCUCAGUUCAGGAUCCUGAGUACGGCGGAACACGUGAAAUUCCGUCGGAAUCCGGGAGGACCAUCUCCCAAGGCUAAAUACUACCUAGUGACCGAUAGUGAACCAGUACCGUGAGGGAAAGGUGAAAAGCACCCCGGGAGGGGAGUGAAAUAGUUCCUGAAACCAUGUGCCUACAAUAAGUCAGAGCGCGUUAAUGCGUGAUGGCGUGCCUUUUGUAGAAUGAACCGGCGAGUUAUGAUCCCGUGCAAGGUUAAGACUAAAAAGUCGGAGCCGUAGCGAAAGCGAGUCUGAAAUGGGCGUUUUGAGUACGAGGUUAUAGACCCGAAACCAGGUGACCUAUCCAUGUCCAGGUUGAAGGUGCGGUAAAACGCACUGGAGGACCGAACCCGUGUAAGUUGAAAAUUGCUGGGAUGAGGUGUGGAUAGCGGUGAAAUUCCAAACGAACUUGGAGAUAGCUGGUUCUCUCCGAAAUAGCUUUAGGGCUAGCCUCGGAAUUAGGAUCAUGGAGGUAGAGCACUAUUUGGACUAGGGGCCCGUCUUGGGUUACUGAAUUCAGAUAAACUCCGAAUGCCAUUGAUUCAUAUCCGGGAGUCAGACGAUGAGUGAUAAGAUCCACCGUCGAAAGGGGAACAGCCCAGACCAUCAGUUAAGGUCCCUAAAUGUAUGCUAAGUGGAAAAGGAUGUGGAGUUGCAUAGACAACUAGGAUGUUGGCUCAGAAGCAGCCACCAUUUAAAGAGUGCGUAAUAGCUCACUAGUCGAGUGAUCCUGCGCCGAAAAUGUACCGGGGCUAAGCAUACUACCGAAACCAUGGAUGCGACCAUUAGGUCGCGUGAUAGGAGAGCGUUCUAAGGGCGGUGAAGCAAGAUCGUGAGGACUUGUGGAGCGCUUAGAAGUGAGAAUGCCGGUAUGAGUAGCGAAAGAUAGGUGAGAAUCCUAUCCACCGAAUGACUAAGGUUUCCUGGGGAAGGCUCGUCCUCCCAGGGUUAGUCGGGACCUAAGUCGAGGCCGAGAGGCGUAGACGAUGGAUAACAGGUUGAGAUUCCUGUACUAGUUAAGUGCGUUUGAGCAAUGGAGGGACGCAGGAGGCUAAGAUGUGCAUUCUGUUGGAUUAGAAUGUCCAAGCAGUAAGUCUUGUGAAGAGUCAAAUGCUUUUCACUUUAAGGACAAGCUGUGAUGGGGAGCGAAAUUUAGUAGCGAAGCGUCUGAUGUCACACUGCCGAGAAAAGCUUCUAGUGAGUACUUAACUACCCGUACCGCAAACCGACACAGGUAGUCGAGGAGAGAAUCCUAAGGUGAGCGAGUGAACUCUCGUUAAGGAACUCGGCAAAAUGACCCCGUAACUUCGGGAGAAGGGGUGCUGRUCGCAAGAYCAGCCGCAGUGAAWAGGCCCAGGCGACUGUUUAUCAAAAACACAGGUYUCUGCAAAAUCGUAAGAUGACGUAUAGGGGCUGACGCCUGCCCGGUGCUGGAAGGUUAAAAGGAUGGGUUAGCUUCGGCGAAGCUCAGAAUUGAAGCCCCAGUAAACGGCGGCCGUAACUAUAACGGUCCUAAGGUAGCGAAAUUCCUUGUCGGGUAAGUUCCGACCCGCACGAAAGGCGUAACGAUCUGGGCACUGUCUCAACGAGAGACUCGGUGAAAUUAUAUUGUCCGUGAAGAUGCGGACUACCCGCGACAGGACGGAAAGACCCCAUGGAGCUUUACUGUAGCUUGAUAUUGAGUGUUUGUACAGCUUGUACAGGAUAGGUAGGAGCCAUAGAAACCGGAACGCUAGUUUCGGUGGAGGCGUUGGUGGGAUACUACCCUCGCUGUAUGACCACUCUAACCCGCACCACUAAUCGUGGUGGGAGACAGUGUCAGGUGGGCAGUUUGACUGGGGCGGUCGCCUCCYAAAARGUAACGGAGGCGCCCAAAGGUUCSCUCAGAAUGGUUGGAAAUCAUUCGCAGAGUGUAAAGGCACAAGCGAGCUUGACUGCGAGACAGACAGGUCGAGCAGGGACGAAAGUCGGGCUUAGUGAUCCGGUGGUUCCGCAUGGAAGGGCCAUCGCUCAACGGAUAAAAGCUACCCUGGGGAUAACAGGCUUAUCUCCCCCAAGAGUCCACAUCGACGGGGAGGUUUGGCACCUCGAUGUCGGCUCAUCGCAUCCUGGGGCUGUAGUCGGUCCCAAGGGUUGGGCUGUUCGCCCAUUAAAGCGGUACGCGAGCUGGGUUCAGAACGUCGUGAGACAGUUCGGUCCCUAUCCGUCGCGGGCGUAGGAAAUUUGAGAGGACCUGUCCUUAGUACGAGAGGACCGGGAUGGACAUACCKCUGGUGUACCAGUUGUKCCGCCAGGMGCAUCGCUGGGUAGCUAYGUAUGGAUGWGAUAAACGCUGAAAGCAUCUAAGUGUGAAACUCGCCUCAAGAUGAGAUUUCCCAUUCCUUUGGAAGUAAGACCCCACAGAGAUGAUGUGGUAGAUAGGAUGGAAGUGGAAGUGCGGUGACGCAUGGAGCGGACCAUUACUAAUCGGUCGAGGACUUAACCAAG